rnacentral:lncRNA from 1 species
ACUGCUCUAUGAAAAGCAAUGUUAUACUCUGGGAGUUGAACACAAGCCUCACAAAGGAGUUUCUGAGAAUGCUUCUGUUUACUUUUUACGUGAGGAUAUUCCCGUUUCCAAAGAAGUCUUCACAGAGUUCCACCUAUCCAUUUGCAGAUGCUAGCAAAAGAGAGUUUCAAAACUGCUCCAUCAAAAGGAAUGUUCAACUCUGUGAGUUGCAUGCAAUCAUCACAGAGAAGUUUCUGAGAAGGCUUCUGUCUAGAUUUUAUGUGAAGAUAUGGCCGUUUCGAACGAAGGCCACAAAGUGCUCCCAAUAUCCACUUGCAGGUCCUCCAAAAAGAGUGUUUCAAACGUGAACUACCAAAGGAAGGCUCAACUCUGGACUUUGAAUGCCAACGUCAGAAGGAUGUUUCUGCGAAAGCUUCUGUUUAGUUAGGUGACGUUAUCCCG